rnacentral:rRNA from 1 species
UGUGGCCAUACCACCCUGAAGAUGUCUGGUCUCAUCUAUCUCAGAAGCUAAGCAGGGUGGGCUUUACUUGUACUAAGACGGGAGAGGCCUUGAUGCUCUGCCACAU